rnacentral:rRNA from 1 species
GAUGAACGCUGGCGGCGUGCCUAACACAUGCAAGUCGAACGAAGCACUUUUUUACGAUCCCUUCGGGGUGACGAAUUUGUGACUGAGUGGCGGACGGGUGAGUAACGCGUGGGAAACCUGCCUUGUACCGGGGGAUAGCAGUUGGAAACGACUGAUAAUACCGCAUAAGCGCACAGUAUCACAUGAUACAGUGUGAAAAACUCCGGUGGUACAAGAUGGUCCCGCGUCUGAUUAGCUUGUUGGCGGGGUAAAGGCCCACCAAGGCGACGAUCAGUAGCCGACCUGAGAGGGUGACCGGCCACAUUGGGACUGAGACACGGCCCAAACUCCUACGGGAGGCAGCAGUGGGGAAUAUUGCACAAUGGAGGAAACUCUGAUGCAGCGACGCCGCGUGAGCGAUGAAGUAUUUCGGUAUGUAAAGCUCUAUCAGCAGGGAAGAUAAAUGACGGUACCUGAGUAAGAAGCUCCGGCUAAAUACGUAG